UGCUUUAUGAAUCCCCAUAUAAAGUAAUCUCCUGCCCAGUGAUUUAAAAUUUAACGGCCGCGGUAUCCUAACCGUGCAAAGGUAGCAUAAUAAUUUGCCUAUUAAUUGUAGGCUAGAAUGAACGGGGUAACGAAAUAGAUACUGUCUCUUAUAAGCCUAAUAUAAACUUAUAUUUAAGUGAAGAAGCUUAAAUAAAAUUAAAGGACAAGAAGACCCUAUAGAGCUUUAGUUUUAAAAUUUACCAAACUUUUACAAACUUCGGUUGGGGCAACCCAGGAUUUAAUCAUCCUAUCUUAUAUAAGAUAUACUUAUCAAAUAUUUUGAUCUUUUUAAACUCAAAGGAAAAGCUACCUUAGGGAUAACAGGCUAAUCUCACUACAGAGUUCUUAUCAACAGUGAGGAUUGGCACCUCGAUGUUGGCUUAGAAAAUCUAUGUGGCGCAACAGUCACAUAAAGAAAGUUUGUUCAACUUUUAAUAUUC
rnacentral:rRNA from 1 species